rnacentral:rRNA from 1 species
AUUGGUGCUUGCACCAGAUGACGAGUGGCGCACGGGUGCGUAACGCGUAUGCAAUCUACCUUUUACUAGAGUAUAGCCCAGAGAAAUUUGGAUUAAUCCUCUAUAAUAUCUUUAAGUUUCAUGACUUUUAGAUUAAAGUUUUAACGGUAAAAGAUGAGCAUGCGUCCUAUUAGUUUGUAGGUGAGGUAACGGCUCACCUAGACUACGAUAGGUAGGGGCCCUGAGAGGGGGAUCCCCCACACUGGUACUGAGACACGGACCAGACUCCUACGGGAGGCAGCAGUAAGGAAUAUUGGACAAUGGACGAAAGUCUGAUCCAGCCAUGCCGCGUGCAGGAUGAAAGCCCUAUGGGUUGUAAACUGCUUUUAUACAGGAAGAAACACUCGUACGUGUACGAGCUUGACGGUACUGUAAGAAUAAGGACCGGCUAACUCCGUGCCAGCAGCCGCGGUAAUACGGAGGGUCCGAGCGUUAUCCGGAAUCAUUGGGUUUAAAGGGUCCGCAGGCGGUCUUUUAAGUCA